CCUACGGGAGGCAGCAGUCGGGAAUUUUGCGCAAUGGAGGAAACUCUGACGCAGUGACGCCGCGUGCAGGAAGAAGGUUUUCGGAUUGUAAACUGCUUUAGACAGGGAAGAAAAAGGACAGUACCUGUAGAAUAAGCUCCGGCUAACUACGUGCCAGCAGCCGCGGUAAUACGUAGGGAGCAAGCGUUAUCCGGAUUUAUUGGGUGUAAAGGGUGCGUAGACGGGAAUGCAAGUUAGUUGUGAAAUCCCUUGGCUUAACUGAGGAACUGCAACUAAAACUAUGUUUCUUGAGUGCUGGAGAGGAAAGUGGAAUUCCUAGUGUAGCGGUGAAAUGCGUAGAUAUUAGGAGGAACACCAGUGGCGAAGGCGACUUUCUGGACAGUAACUGACGUUGAGGCACGAAAGUGUGGGGAGCAAACAGGAUUAGAUACCCUGGUAGUCCACACUGUAAACGAUGGAUACUAGGUGUAGGGGAUGAUAAAUCCACUGUGCCGUCGCAAACGCAAUAAGUAUCCCACCUGGGGAGUACGGCCGCAAGGUUGAAACUCAAAGGAAUUGACGGGGGCCCGCACAAGCAGUGGAGUAUGUGGUUUAAUUCGAAGCAACGCGAAGAACCUUACCAGGGCUUGACAUAUACAGGAAUACAUAAGAGAUUAUGUAGCUCUUCGGAGUCUGUAUACAGGUGGUGCAUGGUUGUCGUCAGCUCGUGUCGUGAGAUGUUAGGUUAAGUCCUGCAACGAGCGCAACCCUUAUUCUUAGUUACCAGCAAGUAAAGUUGGGGACUCUAAGGAGACUGCCGGUGAUAAAUCGGAGGAAGGUGGGGACGACGUCAAAUCAUCAUGCCCUUUAUGUCCUGGGCUACACACGUACUACAAUGGCUAUAACAGAGGGAAGCGAAUUAGUGAUGAGGAGCAAAACCCAAAAAAGUAGUCUCAGUUCGGAUUGAAGGCUGAAAUUCGCCUUUAUGAAGCCGGAAUUGCUAGUAAUGGCAGGUCAGCAUACUGCCGUGAAUACGUUCCCGGGCCUUGUACACACCGCCCGUCACACCAUGAGAGUUGGGGAUACCCGAAGCCCGUGAGCCAACUGUAAAGAGGCAGCGGUCGAAG
rnacentral:rRNA from 1 species